rnacentral:misc_RNA from 1 species
UCUUUCUGCUACUUCAUCUUCAUCUUCUUCUUCUUGGUCCCUCAAAAACAGGAGGCCCCAUUACUUACCUCCUAUUUCUUCAAUUUCCAAGAACCCAAUUUGCCGAAAUACCCUCUUCCCGUUUUCCUCGUACAACCCAAAAAGAUUGAAUCUUUAUGUUCCUUACAAAAAAAGAUUGAAUUUUUAUGUUAAAGCUGCCGAAGAAGAUGAACCCUCAUCUUCUUCUUCUGUGGCUGUAGCUUCAGAAGAAAAUGAUUCUCCAAAGAAUGAUGCCCAUAUUCAAGAGAGUGAGAGUGGUCCUCAGCAUGAGACUGAG